UGCUCUGUGUGGUGAUUUGGCAGGGGGCAAGGACUCGUGUCAGGGUGACUCAGGAGGUCCACUGGUGAUUCAACAGAACUCUGUCUGGGUCCAGUCUGGGGUUGUUAGUUGGGGUCAGGGCUGCGCUCGGCCUAAUCUCCCUGGGAUCUACACCAGAGUGUCCGUUACCAGUCAUGGAUCGCUCCCAUAUCAGGACGACAAGCCAGGCUUUGUCCAUUACCUCCAGUGGGGUAGAUGCUGACAGCGAUUACAUCUGUUCUGAUGUCCCAACAACUACUGUCGACCCAACC